GACGAACGCUGGCGGCGUGCUUAACACAUGCAAGUCGAACGGAAAGGCCUGCUUUCCCUUGUGGAUUGCGGGUACUCGAGUGGCGAACGGGUGAGUAACACGUGAGUGAUCUGCCCCCAACUUGGGUAUAAGCCUGGGAAACUGGGUCUAAUUCCCGAUAGGACUGCAGGGUGGUGCCUGUGGUGGAAACGGUUUUCUUGUUGUCGGGGAUGAGCUUGCGGCCUAUCAGCUUGUUGGUGGGGUAAUGGCCUUCCAAGGCGGCGACGGGUAGCCGGCCUGAGAGGGUGGACGGCCACAUUGGGACUGAGAUACGGCCCAGACUCCUACGGGAGGCAGCAGUGGGGAAUAUUGCACAAUGGGCGGAAGCCUGAUGCAGCGACGCCGCGUGGGGGAUGACGGCCUUCGGGUUGUAAACUCCUUUCGACCGCGAGGAAGCCACCUGGUUGGAAGGGUGGUGACGGUAGUGGUAGAAGAAGCACCGGCUAACUACGUG
rnacentral:rRNA from 1 species